rnacentral:lncRNA from 1 species
CGCAGCUGAUCAUAUCUUCAUUCAAAGAAUCUGUCUCUAGGUAAGGUCACAACGAGGUUCUUGGUGACAUGGAUUUUGCGGGGACUUAUCCAACCCAUCUGAAGAAAGUUUGGGAAGGGUAAAUGUACCAGUCGUUCCAAUAGAUGACCUCCACAGGGAGGCCCAGCAGUCCCAGACUCUUCCUUUAUAGGAAAAAGUGACUUCUCACUUUGCUCUGUCCCCCCUGAAAUGCCUUCUUCCGAAUGUGCCUGGAACGUUGUCUCCCCCUAGCCCUCAAUUGCCACCCACACUUCCUGGAGCCCUGGAGAGCUGGGGGUCAGGUAGGAGAAGGAGGCAAGAGGAUUGUCAUCGCUAAGCCUGCGUCCCUUGUCCCAUGUGGGGGUGCGGUACUGCAAGAUGAGGUUGGCUCUGAGGACUGUCCUGAGCACCAGCUUCCCGGGCCAUUUACUGAGCUGGAAAGACAUACCCGCCCGCCCGUGUCACCGACAGGGCCUGCCACAGUGUCGCGGGUGCUGGCAGGAGACCUGAGGAGAGCUGAACCUCAGGUCGGGUGUCAGGUCGUCGGCCCGCCUUGAGCCCCCAGAGGCCACACGGAGGCCCGGCCUGGGCUCUGCACACACCGCGCUCCUGUCCCAGCUGAGAAACCCUAAGCUUAGGACCCUCGGAUCUUUUUAAGAGGCCGCCAGGAAACCUGCCCAGCCUUUCCUCGGAGGUAAACAUCCUCUUUAGGAU